UUUAAAGCCAAAGUUUAAAUACUUGGUGCCCCUGGAAAUUAACCAUCUUAUUUGGAUGGCUAAAUGAGGAGGGAUGUGGUUAUUUUAAUUAGCCACAGUCGGAAAGUAUUUGAACUUUGCUUUAAAUUUCUCAUCUCUAAACAAAGAAUAACAAUAUAUAUGUACUCUUAUUUAUUCUUAAUUUUUGUAAAAUAUUUGGAGAUAUUAUUCUGUAAGAGGUGAUUUCAAUGCAAUUUAACAGGGGAUUUUUAAAUAACAUGUAUAAGUGAUAGCUUCUAAAAAAAAAAUGAUGCAAGGGACACAGCCUGCCCAUGGGUUUUCUGCAAGAGUUAGCUUCCUACAGGCCACUCAGUUUUGCGAGAUGGAAUUGAAAAGACACCUUCUGUCCUGGUGGGUCCUCUGCUGGGCCUGGACACUCACCUGAGGUGGUGGGUCAUGUCCUUUCUCUGAAAAGCAUGUACAUAGCAGUGGAAGAUUUUAGCAGAAAAUCCUGAGAGAUCUACUGCAGUAGAGCUAAUAUCAUCAUGAAAACUUACAACUUGAAUACUAGUAGUUCUUUAUUGAAUAUAAAUGAUGGGUGAGCUAUCUGAGCAGGUUCCAAGGCCUCUAUGUUGUUUGCGCUACUAGAUACACAUGAAAAUAUUUUGAUAUGUGCAGUGUUUUGUUUUUUCAAUUAAAUAGCAUUAGAGCAUGCAAACCUUCAUAAAUCCAGUACAAAAAUUAUUCCCAUAAAUUUUUGAAUGUGCUUAAAAAAAAACAUGAUUUCAAAGUUGGCCCUUUGUAUUUUAAAUUUGGGUUGUUUUUCUUGUAAAAAUGCUCUUGCAGUUAGCUCCCAUUUUUAAUAUUUGCAUUAUUGAUCGAUCCUUCAAGCCUUCUGAGUAUGGAAUGAUGUAAGCUUUGGCUACAUCUUCCUCAUUAACAGAGUGCUUGUUUCAUUCCUAAUUUAUUAAAUACAUUCAGCCAGUGCCAUGAAGCUUUACACUUAAUUUCUCUUGAUGAAUUGUCAAACACCCUUAAACUGUGCUGCAUUUGUGUAGUGUUACAAUCUGCCAUCAGCACUUUUUCAAAACACGGUUAAAAUAAAUAGCUCAGAAGACAGGCAUGUUUUCAUUUUUUUUUUGCUUUGUAAGGUUGCAUUUUAAUUUCUUCCCAUUUAAAAUGGUUUGAACAGAUAAUACAAACAAGCCAUACAAAUGCGCCCGCUUGUGUUUCACUAAAUAGAUCUAAGCCAGAUCCUCAGCUGCAUCCAGGAAGCACUUGAUUGCGUGGCGAGGGGAGGCAGCUGUGGCCUCCACUUCCGGAGCCACCUGAGCUGGAUGCAGAUCAGAUCAUAAGGGAGUAACUGCAGCUCACAUCACUGAAGUAAGGUCACUCGGCUUCACCAGCUGCUCUCUGCUGUGUCCCAAGGGGACCCUCCAGACCAAGCCAGGAGCAUCGAGUGGCUUGGCUGUAUCGGCAGGUAGCUACAGGGAGAGCCACCCAAAGUGCAAAAGAGAGGAUGAUCGUUGUGUUGCUUGAGAGGCAUCAUCAUCUGCUAAUGUGUCUCUGGCUUUGAUAUGGUGGACUCAGGGAAAACUUGUUCUUUUGGUGAAUUUCUCACCACUGCACCCAUGGCUUCACUUCCCUUUGUGCAGCACCUUAUUGGUCAGUCCCUCUUUCGAGCCAGUCACCACUAGGAUAUAUUUAUAUAUAUGUAUAACAAACAUAUAUGACAACCCAGUCAGGGAUUUUACUGAAAUAGAAAACAAAACCCUGUAUUUUUCCAGUUAGUCCAUACCUUGCUUCUCGUGCUCCUGUGGUGAUUUACUUGUUUAAAUUUCUGCUGUUGUUUGAGGUUUGCUGUACGUUUGAAGGAUCUAAGGUUAAAGAGAGGUGGCAUCCCUCUGCACGAUGUCACUUCUUAGCAGCUAAAUGAUUUCUGAGGCUUUCCAAUCCCUGUGAGAAGGAUUUGAGAAAAGCCUUUUAGAUGGUCAGGGUCUGUGCUUCUGCCUCAGUGAGCUGCAGCAGUGGCAACAGCAGUGGUGGGAUGAUACGACAUGCAGCACAGCUGCAGUUUAAACAGAGUUGUCUGUGUGUGUGUAGAGUUUCCUUAGUGAGUCAUGGCAUUUUUACACUUCCUGCUUGUUAAUUAUUGUGAACAACAUCCCCAAAAGAAUUCAGUGACAGAGCGGUGCCGCCGUCAGUGAAGGCAAAGGCAGAAUUUCUCCAGGAGUCGGCCCAGCAUUCAGUGAAGUAUUUUGGCAUCUAAAGUGCCCAUUACACAGGAUUUAUGAGUCUAAGUUCGGGAAAGAGAUUCAGGAAAAUGUCAAACCAGUUUAAAUAGCUAAGACAUUUAAGUUUCCCUGGCAAAACUCUACUGGUUGCUUAAAAAAUGGCUAUUAAAUGCUCCCAGCAGAGAUUCUGCCUUUGCUGUAAUGAGUACCUGAGGACCUGUCUGUGACUUUAGGCCACUUAGUAUUCAGAAAUGGGUAUUCUGUGACCUGGCUUCCUGGAGGAGAUUUCCUUUGCUAAAUGUGCUCAGGCCAAGGCUAACUCCUCCACAUGGCCUUCACAGGUAGUGCUGACUGUGGUGUUUUCUAGCCAUUGCAGAACAACUGUGCAUCGGGGAAUUUGGGGAGCAGCUGUGUUUGAGACUGUGGAUACGUGUUCAUGUCUAAUCAGGCUGGGGAGAGCCUUUGCUAUCUAUUGCAUGUGCUGGUGCUCUGAGCGUCAGACUGUUGAAAACGGGCCUGACCUUACCAUGAAGGAUGCUGUUCUUGUGUGUGUUUCUGGUUGCUUUAGAUGCUCAGUCGCAGUGCUGAAAUAUGCACUUAAAACAGUGCAUUGGGCACCAUUUGGUGCUCCCUCCCAUGCUGUUCCCCUGUGGCUGUCUCAGAUUUUCAGCAGCACUCCUGGUUCAGGGAGUGUAGUGAUAGGACAAGGAGUAGUGGUUUUAGACCAUAGAUUUUGAUUAGAUAAAGGAAAAAAAUCCUGACUAUGAGAGUGGUGAGGCACUGGAACAGGUUGCCCAGAGAAGCUGUGGAUGCCCCAUUCCUGGAAGGCCAGUUUGGAUGGGGCUUUGAGCAACCUGGUCUGGCGGGAGGUGUCCCUGCCCGUGGCAGGGGGGUUGGAACCAGAUGGUCCCUUCCUUUAAGGUCCCUUCCAACCCAAGCUAUUCUGUGAUUUUGUAUGAUUCUGUGCUGCCUGUUGUGGUCCCCAGCCUGGGCAUCUGUCUCAUUCCCUUGUGGUUUAGGGGCCUUUGUGUGUAUCAGCCCCUCUUGCAUUUCAGCGUAUAAUUGCUAAAUGCCAUGGUGUUGUGUGCCAUGGCAUUUGGUCAUUUGUUGAAUGCCAGCCUCACUGCUUUGUACCGACUGAAGUCUAGUAGAUGGGUUGUCUGUCAACUGUUAUUGUGACCCAAACUCAUUGGAAGGCAAAGCAAACCUCUCUUCCUUCUUUUCUGGGCUUUGGGCAAGCAUGCUGCUGCCAUUCUUUUGGGUGUUAGACCAGUUAUCCCUAUCUGGUGCUGUAGAUGUUGUUUUGGAAAGGGCUGUGUAGGUGCAGUCAUCUGUCUGUGUAGUUUUAUCUUCUGCUGACUAUGAAAGGCUUAUCUGCAGGUGGCACAAACAGGCUCUUGGAGGGGGGGGGGGUGUGGAAAGUGACACUAGCAUUUUGAACAGAUUUAACUAUUUAUUGGGAGAUAGAAAGUGAUUUUAAUUGAGUGAGAAUGAUUUAAUUCUCAUCAAGUUUUGCACACUGCAGAACUAGAGGCAGCGUACAAAGAGCUGUGAUCCAUACAUUGGAAUCACUGUCCAUGCAGUCACAUAAUAGUGAAGUGAGGAAUCAUUGUAACACAGAGAGCUGCAGUUUUGGCUGAAUUGGUGUGAUGACUGCAUACAAGGACUCCCUUUUCUUCUGCGUAAUAGAAAAUGCAGGAUUGUGCAAUGACAGCAAGGAUUAAGAGUCAAAUAUUAAAGCACUUGCCUACUUUCUACUGUUAAGCCCUUACUCUUGCAAAGCUUUCAAUUCCUUUAUUGAGGAACAAAUUGUUCUUCAAUGGGAGUUUUGCCUAAAUGUGGAAUCAAGGAUUCAGUCUUAUUCUUUAAUGAUGAAAGAUCAUCAUUUAAAGAACAACAUUUCUGCCACAGAUUGCCAAGUUUCAAAAUGUCUUCUUCUGUGGCAGAAUGAAGCACUGUCUAGGCUGAGUAUGAACAAUCUAGCAUGGCUGUAGAUUCAUACUGAGGUCUCUGGUACAUAAUUUUCAAUGCAGUCACUGUUGCACCUAUCAGGGUCUCAAUUAUGACAUUUCUGUGUGAGAUACAGCAGUGUUCUCUGUGUUUUGCUGACCAGAAGGAAAUUGUUCCCACAUGUUGAGGUGGACCUGGAUAACAAAGCAACAGAGAAAGUGGUGUGAAACUAACCUGUUUUUACAUGGCCUACUAGACAUGAUGAAGAAAAUAAUGUGUUACAUUUAUAAACAAUACAGUUUAAUUUCAGAGCAAUGAUUGCAGCUUAAAUCCACAUUUACUUCGUCAUCCUUUUUAUUUCCAUUUCUCUAUUGUGCCGUGAAACUGUCUAAUAACCCAGCUAAAUAACCCUCUCAUGAAUGGGUUUCAUUUAUUUAUUUAUUAUUCUAGGAUUACUAUCAACCAGCUGUAGCUUCUCUAAAUGACCAUGAAAAAAAAAUCUUUAAUAAUCUUUAAUGUUUUGAAAGAUAAAUUCAAACAUUUGGAAGUAGAAAAGCUCUUCCCCUUCAAAAUGGGCAUUAAACAUGAGAAUUUAUAUUAAUUGUCAAAUAAAUUUUCCUAGUAGUUUUUUAUUCAUCUUUGAACAGCCAUAUAAAAGGCCAAAGUAGACAUUAAUUUGAAAAGCUUGAAAAACUCUGAAGCCUAAAGGGAUUUACAGUGCUGAGGGCAAAAAGUUGUAAGCUAUCAGGCAACCCAAGGUAUUAUAAUGAUUGAAUAAAAACUUUCAGAAGUUUUAUGAAAGCAGAAGGACAUUGUCUAAUUCAAUGAGCUUUAGUGUUCAUACUUGAAAAACUACAGCUUAGAGGAAAUAAUAUGAAGAUGCUUUUACAGAUAAAUUGAUUGAUAGGGCUUCCAAUCUGCUUUAAAACAGGACUGUGCUUAAGUGGCUCAUUGAAUGGAGCAUUACUGAUAUUCCUUGAGAUAUACUUCAUCCUUCACUGGAAUGAACACUUCUGACUGCAUCUGUAGCACUGUCAAGGCAGUUGUUUAUGUUAUUGCUACCCAGCAUGACAAUUAGACACAGCAGCAUUAAAUUAGACCUUGGUUUGGUUCCUUUUGAAAGGAACAGGAGUUUUGACAUUGACUCUGCAGAGAGCAGGCUCAAGUUAUGCACUGAAGCCAUUUUCUGAAUAAGUAGUGUUGAUCAGCAUCAAAGAAACAGUGUUUCUAGGAUAAUUUUCAUUUAUGUCUCAGUCCCAAAGUCCUCACAAAGGUAAAAUUUACAUUUAGUAUACUAGAAAUAUGUCUGCUAAGUGGCAGGGCUGGCCACGCCAUUAUUUUUCUGAGUGGGGCAAAGAGGCAAAAAGCAGUGUUUGAAACUAAAAGCUGAGUAGGAAAAAUCUGUAGUAAAUAUGACUGGUUCAAAAGCAAUUGCUUCCAAGAACAAAAGGGACAAAUGAACAAUUUCAUUCCUAUUUUGCAAUUUCUCCUCUCCCUCUGGAGUGUGAACCAUAAUUAGAGCACUUAUACAAAAUCACAUUUGUCAGACUGGCUGCUAAAUUCCCCUUAAAGCUUUAUCCACAAAGAGCAGUCUGUUAUCACUCCCACUACAGCCUACAGUUCUUGUUUGCACUUUCAGGGACAGACAAGCAAUUAUUCUAUCCGUAUUGAAAAUAUCAUGUAAAUGUAACAACAGUGAAACUAGGUGAGGCCAGUUCUGCACAAAAGCUGUUUCCAGAUUUCCUGAGCAAAGACCUGUCUUGGUUCCAGCAGGAGCUAUAUGAAAAGCUGUUACCAGAUAGUGGAGGUAUGUCCUAAAGCCAACACUAGUCCCACAAACAGGGCGAGUGUUGCAAGGAAGGCUCCAUGAGCUGUGAAAUACUGCUGUCUGUACUUGUCUGCCAAGAAUAUCUCUCUCUCAAUGAGUGAGAAAAAAACAUCCAUUCUAACACAAGAAGAGACCCUCAUGGAUGAGAGACCAGACUUCUCUAGAGAGGGUGAAUUACGCCCUGGUAGCUUCUGGUGCCAUAAGAUCAGCUGGAGCCCUGUCACCAGAGGAUCUCUCCUCCUCAACCCUUCUGCAAGAGCUCUUAAGGUACUGUAUCCUCUCGUAAUUGAUGAGAGGAAGAUGCCAUUAACAGAUACAGCUCUUGCCUGACUGACAGAUCUUGACAGUAUUAAACAGAUUCAAAAAGAACUCAAUUUUUCUCGACUUCAUGUUGCCCCUGAAGAGUAGUAGUUAAGCUACUGCGACAGACACUUCUCUCCCAGCAGAGGCAUAGGAUGCCUCAAAGAUUUGACUCCAUUGCUCCACAUACCUCUGCACAUCCACAGGCAAGCCGGGGCAGACACCCACCAGAAGCAAUGUACGUGUCUGGCAGGUAUGGGUGCGCUAGGGACCUUUGAACAUGGAAAAAUGAAUUGAUGAAUUUAAUGAAUUUAAAAUUUAUUUAUUAAUUAUAUAAUUAUUUAUUUAUAAAUAUUGAUGUAGUUGUUUACCGUUAGGAUAUAUGACUGUUGAGGCUGUUAGUAAUAACAAUAGGAAGUCAUACACUUAAACAAGUGCAAACCUUCCUCAGCAAGUGAUGAAGGCUGCAUAAGUGCCUUGACAAAUUAUUUGUCAACUGCUUUUAAAAUGUCAUACAGGGAUGUUAGCUCCUAUCAUAAAUCCAGGUGCCUUACUGAGUUUAUAUGGUGAUCUCUAGUGUCUGCCCUCUGCUGUCCAAUCUCAGUGCUCUGUGGAUGCCUAAAGGAAAACCUCAGCGCACAGGCAGAAGCAGCCCCAUCCCACAACCAUCUGUGUCCCUUUCUUGCCUAAAUUUCAGUGUGGUCCCAAUAGCCUGGACUUCAUAUCAUACAGAAUUGGUGAUUAGCCUUCAUGGUGGUAAGGGUUCAAAACCUGGACAGACCCAAACUGGUGUUUCUCUCACCGGGAAGAAGAACACUAAACUCAAUUUAGAGGACACCAUGUGUCGUGGAGCCCCUUUCAGCCUGUUUUGCCUAUGCCACCAUGCUGCAGGAUUCAUCUUCCACCCAGUGACUGUGCAAUGUGUGUAAACCCUGCAGGGAGCAGUCACCAGCAUGGCCC